rnacentral:ncRNA from 1 species
AAACCAUCCUUUUCUUGGGGUUGCGCUACUGUCCAAUGAGCGCAUAGUGAGGGCAGUACUGCUAACGCCUACACAACACACCCGCAUCAACUAAAGCUUUGCUUUACCUUGGUGCAAUUUUUGGAAAAAUG